UGUAUCUCCAGAUGAAUCUGACCAGCGGUGCAGCUCUUCCUUUGCAGAAUGGAGCCAGUCUGUGAAUUCAUGCACAGCAUCAAGAUGUCAAAGCUGCAGCUGCGCAACUCUGGCACGCUUUUCCCAAUACACCCUGGAGAGCGUCUUAGAGAUCACCCAUGAGUCUUCCCAGGGAGCAGCAUGCUGCUGGAAACACAGCUCUUAUUUAGAAGCACCAAGUCUCUAUAAAUGCUAAGCAGUGUCACAGAGAUGUCCCAUACGAAGAGCACAAAAGAGGACUUCUGCUGUUCAAAAGUGCAAAAGGUUCUUAUGGGGCUGAGUCCUAUUUUAACCAUGACAUCAGAAGUGGUGGCCGUCCCCAGCUACCUGCCUUGCAGCCCUGGAGGAUGCUUUCCCUGACACAGACAAACAACAGCUUCGUGGCUCCAUCUUAGGUUUUUAAUGUAAGCUUCAAGUAGGGGCAGUUUACGUUACUACAAACAGGUGAAAUAGUGUACUGGUCUAGAUUUGCCUUUGGUUUGACUGAGUAGAUUUGUUCGUAUAUUCUUGUGAGCUAACACUCAGGAAUGUUUAUCAAAACUAACCAAAAGUGAACUGAGCUAAUCAAAUGACUUUUUACUCCUGUGUGGAUACCCUAGAUCCAAGUGUCCUUAAAUCAAUUUCAAACUAAACCACUUACUUAUGAACUGAACUCCAGUUAUUUUUAAUUUUUAAUAACUCAACAUUCAACUAAUGCUUUUAAAGAUUAAGUUAGAUUAAUAAACCCUACUGUUUCCUCCGAAAAUAAUCAUUGUAAUUUCUCGGAAUCUGUUGACCAACUAGACAAUGGAUGGUUACCAGCUAAACAAAGACGACAAAGUAAAUCCUCAAACUUUUCACAUCUUAAUGCAUUUUAUGCAAAAACAGAGUAAGAAAAUGUCUACGUGUGCCUCACUCUAAACAAAAUAGAUAGCUCCCUAGGGAAGGAAAAGAUCCCCCAAGAAAGGCAACCACGCACCUCUGUUUACUUUGCUCACACCAAAAUAUAGCACCAAUAGAGGGGGAGAGUGGAGGCAAAGUGCAGCUUUGGUUGGUCUCUUCUGGUAGCAAUGACUUCUACCAGUUCCUGUCAGUGCUGUUCUCUCCCAAGGGGAAGACUGCAAAACUGUCUUUCUUGCUUAAGAAAUUAAAUGUAUUGAUGUGUAUUGAUUUUAGGAGAACACUGCCAUGCUCACUUAUGAUGCUCUUUUCACACAAGUUUAAAAGCAUUGUAUUUAGUCAGUGAUCUUGGCUCCAGAUUUAAUGCCACUGAAAGAAGUGGAGUUAUAUGAGGAUGAAACUGCACUGAUUCUCUAGAAACCAGAUUAAUAGCUUACUAUUUUCAGUAAAAAAAGAGAGCAAAAGUACAUCAUAAAACCAGAAGAGUGCAUGACUUGAUGGUAAUUACAGA